AGAGUUUGAUCAUGGCUCAGAACGAACGCUGGCGGCAGGCCUAACACAUGCAAGUCGAGCGCCCAGCAAUGGGAGCGGCGGACGGGUGAGUAACACGUGAGAAUUUUCCUCAAGGUACGGAACAACUCAGGGAAACUUGGGCUAAUACCGUAUGAUGCAGAGAUGCCAAAGAUUUAUCGCCUUGGGAUAAGCCCGCGUCAGAUUAGGUAGUUGGUGGGGUAAUGGCCUACCAAGCCUGUGAUCUGUAGCUGGUCUGAGAGGACGAUCAGCCACAUUGGGACUGAGACACGGCCCAAACUCCUACGGGAGGCAGCAGUGGGGAAUCUUGCGCAAUGGGCGAAAGCCUGACGCAGCCAUGCCGCGUGAAUGAUGAAGGUCUUAGGAUUGUAAAGUUCUUUCGCUCGUGACGAUGAUGACGGUAACGAGAGAAGAAGCCCCGGCUAACUUCGUGCCAGCAGCCGCGGUAAUACGAAGGGGGCUAGCGUUGUUCGGAAUUACUGGGCGUAAAGCGCGCGUAGGCGGCUUUGCAAGCCAGAGGUGAAAUGCCUGAGCUCAACUUAGGAAUUGCCUUUGGGACUGCGAGGCUUCGAGGACGGAAGAGGUGAGUGGAAUUCCCAGUGUAGAGGUGAAAUUCGUAGAUAUUGGGAAGAACACCGGUGGCGAAGGCGGCUCACUGGUCCGUUUCUGACGCUAAAGCGCGAAAGCGUGGGGAUCAAACAGGAUUAGAUACCCUGGUAGUCCACGCUGUAAACGAUGAGUGCUAGGCGUCGGCACGCUUGCGCGUCGGUGCCGCAGCUAAC
rnacentral:rRNA from 1 species